GAUGAACGCUAGCGGCAGGCCUAACACAUGCAAGUCGAGGGGUAGCAGGAUUAAGCUUGCUUAAUUGCUGACGACCGGCGCACGGGUGCGUAACGCGUAUGCAACCUACCUUAUACUGGGGUAUAGCCCGGAGAAAUUCGGAUUAAUCCCCCAUAGUACUAAUGAAUCGCAUGGUUUAUUAGUUAAAGCAUUGCGGUAUAAGAUUGGCAUGCGUCCUAUUAGCUAGAUGGUGAGGUAACGGCUCACCAUGGCUACGAUAGGUAGGGGGCCUGAGAGGGUGGUCCCCCACACUGGUACUGAGACACGGACCAGACUCCUACGGGAGGCAGCAGUGAGGAAUAUUAGUCAAUGGGCGCAAGCCUGAACCAGCCAUGCCGCGUGCAGGAAGAAUGCCCUAUGGGUUGUAAACUGCUUUUAUUUGGGAAUAAACCUCUUUACGUGUAGAGAGCUGAAGUUACCAAAUGAAUAAGCACCGGCUAACUCCGUGCCAGCAGCCGCGGUAA
rnacentral:rRNA from 1 species